rnacentral:rRNA from 1 species
GACGAACGCUGGCGGCAUGCUUAACACAUGCAAGUCGAACGGAAAGGCCCUGCUUUCGUGGGGUGUUCGAGUGGCGAACGGGUGAGUAACACGUGAGUAACCUGCCCUUGACUUUGGGAUAACUUCAGGAAACUGGGGCUAAUACCGGAUAGGAGCUCCUGCUGCAGGGUGGGGGUUGGAAAGUUGCGGCGGUUGGGGAUGGACUCGCGGCUUAUCAGCUUGUUGGUGGGGUAGUGGCUUACCAAGGCUUUGACGGGUAGCCGGCCUGAGAGGGUGACCGGCGACAUUGGGACUGAGAUAGGCCGCAGACACCUACGGGAGACAGAGGUGGGGAGUAUUGCAGACUGGGCGGGCGACUGAUACAGAGACGUCGCGUGUGGAAUGACGGCCUUCGGGGUGUAAACCGCGUUCGCCUGAGACGAAGCGUGAGUGACGGUAAUGGGUAAAGAAGCACCGGCUAACUACGUG